UCCCCUCCGCAGGCUGCCGGCCCCGGGCUGGGUUGGGCGAGUCUCUCUCCAAUGGCUCACCCUCAAGCACCACUAGGAGC
rnacentral:pre_miRNA from 1 species